UGCAAGUCGGACGGCAGCGGGGGUGCUUGCACCUGCCGGCGAGUGGCGAACGGGUGAGUAACAUAUUGGAAUGUACCGAGUAGUGGGGGAUAACCAAUCGAAAGAUUGGCUAAUACCGCAUACGUCCUGAGGGGGAAAGCAGGGGAUCUUCGGACCUUGCGCUAUUUGAGCAGCCAAUAUCUGAUUAGCUAGUUGGUGGGGUAAAGGCCCACCAAGGCGACGAUCAGUAGCGGGUCUGAGAGGAUGAUCCGCCACACUGGGACUGAGACACGGCCCAGACUCCUACGGGAGGCAGCAGUGGGGAAUUUUGGACAAUGGGGGCAACCCUGAUCCAGCCAUGCCGCGUGUCUGAAGAAGGCCUUCGGGUUGUAAAGGACUUUUGUUAGGGAAGAAAAGGGAAGUGUUAAUACCACUUUUUGCUGACGGUACCUAAAGAAUAAGCACCGGCUAACUACGUGCCAGCCGCCGCGGUAAUU
rnacentral:rRNA from 1 species